ACUCAUCUUUUGUCCACUUACAUUCCAUUUUUUUGUUAUAAUAAAAAUUAUUAAAAAACAAAAGGGAAUGUAAGUGGACAAAAAGAGU
rnacentral:miRNA from 1 species